rnacentral:lncRNA from 1 species
CAUUGGGGAAGUCCAAAUCUGACCAGCACAGACAGGGUCAACAACAAGUGGUAAAAAAGAUGAUGGUAAAGAAAUAGAUGGUUUGUCUGAUGAUACUGAUGCAGUCAAAGGAGCUGAUAGAGAAGAUUUUGCCCUGUUGGUAUGGAAAGUUGUAUAGGCUCCAUAAUAUACAGAAUGUAUGGUGAAACAUGUAUCCAGGAAUAAAUGUAACAACCUUCAUGUAGUUUGAAAUGGUCUUUCACUCAAAAAUUCACCAAUAUUCACCAUCAAACAGAGGAACUAUUUUCCAUGUAACCACUUCCGUACUGUGGUCAACCAAGGGCAGAUAACUGUGGUCUUGUGCCUAUUUCUCCACUAAGAGAAGUGUUGUAUAAAGCCUUGAACAGUAAAACCAGUGUGCUACAGGAGAUUGCUCAUGACUGUAUGAAAAAGGCAACAAUAGAACAUUGUAAGCUGGUGGUAGAUUUGGCAGAGGUGAUAAUCAAGUGGUAAAAUACAGAGAAUUAAGGAGGACAGUGAUCCAGCUGAUGGAUCAGGUGAUGCCACUCCAGGGUCUAUGAAGAGGGCUGGCUCAGUUGACCCACCAGGUGAGGUGAAAAAGGCUAGAUACUCUUCUGGUGCCUUAGGAAGCCCAGGUCCAGCCAUUAAGUGGACAGAGAGUGGUAAACCUAUAGUGAAACAGUACUGUGAUGGGGUUGCGAAUUU